AUUGCAGCCUGCAACUCGGCUGCAUGAAGCUGGAAUCGCUAGUAAUCGCAGAUCAGAAUGCUGCGGUGAAUACGUUCCCGGGUCUUGUACACACCGCCCGUCACACCAUGGGAGUUGGGAACGCCCGAAGUCAGUGACCCAACCGCAAGGAGGGAGCUGCCGAAGGCAGGCUUGAUAACUGGGGUGAAGUCGUAACAAGGUAUC
rnacentral:rRNA from 1 species